rnacentral:lncRNA from 1 species
CGAGAAGCUUCGCACUCCUGAAGUCGCACUUGAGGUAGCUAUACAGGUUGGGCAGCAAGUACAUGUUGUGGGGUGCAUCAAACUUGAACACUAGCCAAGAAAAUAAAAUUAGUUAAGCAUAGGUUAUUCAGUUUUCUGGUUCAGAGUGAAAUCGACAUCGAUUCUUGAAGAAAGGAAUCUUGAAAGGAUUCUUGAUUUCAUUCCCAAUUCACAAACGAUGUCACCUUCCCUCCUAGAUCUUUUGUUUAUCUUAUAUUAUCUCUUAUUCAAAGUAAGCUUGAGGAUCACACUCACCAUCACGUUGUGUAGUCUUAGCCGGCGUACAUGGCUGUGUUGAUUAUGCACAUGUUCAUGAGAUUUUAUUCAAGUCGAAGGUUCUAAUAUCCUAUACCAUUGACUCUCUAUCUAGACAAUCGGCGUAUGUUGGAACUAUCAGUGACUACUUAUCCCGUCUGAAUGAUGAACAAUUUUUCAUUAAACCUUUUCAACCAUGGGCAUUCCACUAUGCAAACUCCAGCAGCAUCAGAAGAAGCAAAACUUCCAAGGCUAAAACUAAAAGUUAGUCGGUUACCCUCAACAAGUUUAUCGUUGAUGUGGAAGGGACUGUUUUUAAGAGCCCAGUUUGUGUAGUUGUAGCCGAAACGCCAGUUCUCAGAUCCACCAACAACAAUAGUUCUGGCCUCAGUCAUCGCCAUGGUUGUGGCUAUCACCAUCAACACAAUUCCUGCAUACCUCAGUCUUGCCAUUUCGCUAGUAUAUUCUCGAAAGAUCUCGGCAGUUCAAAUGAGUUCCUAGGUUCAUCGGUGGGGGUUUUAUAUAACCAAUUUCUAGCUAGAAUAGUUGGAGCACUAUUUUUUAAUCUCGGUUGGCAAAAGAGAAAUAAAAAAAGAUUGGAUUUAAGAAUGAAGAGAAGACGUUUUGUCCAAGAUUUUGAAUCAGUAAAUUCAUACAACAUGCUUCUAGAUUGCUGCUUUAGUUCCUAAAAUUCUUUUAUCAUUUGCCACUUAGAGCCAUCCCACACCUCAUUUGCAAUCAUUUUGUUGAAGACUGUCAACUAAGGAAAAUGGGUAGCAUUUGAAUUUAGUGGUUUGAAUGAGUCCGUGCGGCUUCUUCGUUUGAGUCCCUUCAGAUGGAGCUUUUUAUGGUCAACCUUUGCUACUAUUUCUUCUUAGUCAAAAUAUUCAAGUCUUCCUUGGCUGGUUUGAAACCUCCACUAAAGAGGAGUGACGUUUCUCAUGGUUAAAUUUUCACUGCAUUCUCGAAGAGUUAUUUCAACUAGCUGAUGAUGAUUGGAUAAUGUUCCUUGUUAAGAUAAUUUUUGGAUUUCUAUUUUCUACACUAAUUAAAACAUUUUGACAAAAAUGAGUUUUACUCUUCAACUUUUAGUAUGAGUAAAAUGCCAAGUCAACUUUAUUUUUGAGUAUUUGUAUCAAUUGAUAAGAGAUAUCUCUUUGGAAUAAAAUAAAUCAUGAAGUCAUUAGUCAACAUUGAGGACGCCUUUGUUUGGACUGAUAGAAAAGCAAAAAGUGCUCUCAUAUUAUUCAACUUUCAGAAAAUAAUUUUAAAAAAAACAAUUAUAUGUGAAUUUACCUGUCAAUAUUUGUGUGAGAUAAGUUUUGUUGAUCAUAUUGUACACAUAAAAUCUUGGAUUUGACUAUUGCAACUUGGGGCAAAUAAUGAGUGAUUACACUUAGUGUAUGAUAGGUCUUACUUUCUCACUCAAUCACUUUUUCAAUAUUUCUCUCAAGAUCACAGAUUGUAGUCCAAGAAAGACAAGUAUGUAGGAUCGAGAUUCUCUCAGACUUUGGAAUGCUUGAUUCUGGACUUUGUCUCUUUCAUUCUCCUUAGUGCAUUGGUCUCCUUUUAUACUCUUUCACUCUCAAUCUAGCCGCUAGACAAUCUUUAGAUGAUUAUCUUCCAAUCUAUUCAUUGGACAAAUUUGUAUCAAGAAGAUUGACUAGUCAUUGAGUGAUAAAAUCUGAAUUUACAUUUGAUUUUAAUCGCCCAUACAACCAAAAUUUUGGUUUCCAAAAGUACAGGGCUCCACUUAUAGAAGUAACUUGUUUCAAGAUUAAUUUGUCAAUCAAUUAAGAUCUUUUCCAUUACAAAGUUGGUUUGCAAAACAAUCUUUAAGAUUGAGUCAAUCUAUUCUUUCUAAAUGUGAAAUCCUAGCCAGAUCACUGGGUGUUAUAUACGUUAUGAAGUUGUGUUCGAAUGGGACCAUAAGUAGUUCUCUUAGUCUGAAAAAUUUCAUUAUCAAUAUAAAGCAUGAAUCUAUUGCACUUGAAGUAGAUUUCACAAUCUAGACUUGAGCUCAAACAAGAUCAAGAUUGUUAUAAACUUCUCUUCCAAGAUCAAUUCCCUAAAUCAAAAAUACGUCGUAACAUCCAUUAGACUAACGAGACAUACAUGAAUAGUUUUGUCAACUUCAAAAUUUAUUAGGGAAUUUUCUCAACAACAUGUGCAUCUCAACAUCUCGAUGGUCUCAUGCUCCUUGACUAGUGAAGGUAACACCUACCAGCAACUAAAAGAGGUUUUUUUCCUUGGUCAAAGGAACAUUUCAUUCAUUUCCAUCGAUAUACAAUAGAGAAACACAGUUCAACUACGAACCAAGACAAAUCCUAGACAAAUACAAAACAAAACAAACUCCAGAUAAGAAGACAAAAUUUCAUAAUAAGGUUAGAGGUCACAUGCUUAAAGAGUAAAUCAUCGACUUCUUCAAAUCAAAAUUGGCGACUGAUCGCCGAAUCUGUCUUUAGUAAUGAGCACACACUGAGGUCUCCAUAUGUUGCUCCAACUUUACUUUAUCAGCAAUAUGCGCCUAAGUUCAACAUCCCCAACACCAUCGUUCAAAAUAACAAGGUUGAACAUGUUGGAGAAAUCCUCCUGAAGUGUUUUGAAGUUGACAAAACGUUUCCAUCAGUCUAGUCUGAAGGCUUGCAGACUCUGCUAUUUAAAGUCUGAAGACCUUCGGACAGCCAGACUCAAGACUCAAAGUCUAUCCUCAUUGACAGUUUCUAAUCCGUUGAAGAAAGGCUAUCCAGAACUGGAUGUUUCAUUAAGGAUGUGACCUUAUCGAUUGGAGAAGAUCUCUUGGCUGGAUAUGACAUAACGGAAUCCUUUAUUUUGAUCAUAAUUGAUUUGAAGAUUAAGGAUCCGAUGAUUGGCAAAGUAUACUUGGAAGGUUCUACUUAUGGAAACCGAGAUCCUAAUUGUAUGGGCGAACAGGAUUGAUGGCUAUCGACAUGUUCCUUUAAUAGCUCGAAUGAUCUUCCUAAUUGAUUCCGUCCAACGGGUAGAUUGGAGGAAUUCCUUUGGUAAGUGCCAACAGGUAUGAUGGCAUGAAGGAGUAUAUAAGGAAGACGUUCCAGUUGUUCGAGAAGGUACACGAUAGAAGAAUUCCAAAGUUUGAAGCUCCUUGUUCUCAGUCAAUUCAUUUGUUGAGAUAAAUCGUGUAAACAAAAGAGAGUCCAUAUUCGUGAGAAACCUUGAGGAAGUGUGGUAAAAUAUCUACACUGUGGAAUCAAGGAAAAGUUGUGCUGUAACUUCUCUUUUGUUCAUAGUAAAAUCCAGCCGGUGGGCUAUCAGUGCGGAAGAGUGGACGUAGGCUUGGAAUAAGCCGAACCACUAUAAAUCUUGUGUUCAUUUCUCUCUUCCCUAUCCUUUACUUUACUUUGAUCGUAUUUUUCUUUCUAUCAUUUGCCUAGAAUUGCUUCCGUAUCUCAAGAAUUUGUUUGUGCACCUAUUCACCCCCUCUAGGUGAUUAUACUAGCUAUCUCAAUUAGUAUCAGAGCCUGUGUACUCACUUUUGUUGAAGUGUUUUACUUCAGAGUUAAAGAUCAAUGGCUAGUAUGUUGGCUCCAGGACUGGUAGAAGGGCAAAGCAAUACCAGACCACCUUACUUUGAUGGAAAUGAUUACAACAUAUGGAAAAACAAGAUGAAAGCAUUCCUAAGAUCAAAGGAUCCUCUGGAAUGGGACGUUGUAGAAAAAGGAAUCAUUCCUAAAGCUGCAUCUGUCUCAGAAAGAGGAAAAGAUGCUGUUAAGUCUAGCGAAAUGACUCAGGAAGAGAUAAUCAAGAGACAAGCUCUUGAUACAAAAGCAAUUUAUUCCUUAUAUUGUGCUUUAUCCCCUACUGAAUAUAACAGAAUAUCUUCUUGUGUUACAGCUAAAGAAGUCUGGGAUAGAUUACAUAUUACCUAUGAAGGAACCGAUCGAGUAAAAGAAACCAGAAUCAACAUUCUCCUCGGACAAUAUGAAGCCUUCAAAAUGAAACCAGGAGAAUCUAUAACUGAUAUGUUUAGUCAUUUUACAGAAGUCGUGAAUGGUCUUGAAAAUCAAGGUCAACCAAUUUCUGAUCCCAUGAAAGUAAACAAGCUACUGCGUGGACUUUCCAAGAAUUGGAAUCACAUAAAGACCUCAAUCAGAGAGACCCAAAGAAUCAUACCACUAUCUGUUGAUAAGUUGGUUGGAACUCUUCAGUCUUAUGAAGUGGAGCGAAUCAAUGAAGACGAAGACCUUAAAGGUAAGAAAUCCAUUGCAUUAAAAUCUAAUGAUGAUUCUGAUGUUACAGAUUCUGAAGACGAUAUGGAUGAUGAGGAACUUGCUCUCAUGAUAAGAAGAUUCAGAAAGCUGAACAAAAAAGGAAGAAGAUUCAAUCCAAAAAAACACAAAGUUUUCAAAAGCAACAGACUAAGUCUGUUGAGGAUGAUGAAUCAAACAAAGAUGUAGUCUGCUUUUAAUGUAAGAAAAAGGGACACAUCAGACCCAACUGUCCUCUUCUGAGGAAGAAGAAAGGAAAAACUGAAAAGUACCGAAAAGCUCUUAAAGCUGAAACCUGGAGUGAUACAGAGUGUGAAGAAAGUGAUGAUGAUUAUGCCAAUAUAUGUCUGAUGGCACAAUCGGAUUCAGAUUCAAAUUCCGAGACAGAUUCAGACUCAGAAAGCGAAUUUGAGGUAAGUAACUUCAAAAUCCCUAUUAAGGUUUCAAAGUAUAUUGAUGAAUUGUGUUUCAGUCUUAAGACUUCUCUUAAAAGAAUUUCCGAACUCAAGAAAGAAAAUUCUGCUCUAAAACAACAGGAAAAUAUUUUGAAAAAAAAAGUGAAAAGUUUAGACAAAAAUGUUUCUUCUCGUAAAGAAAGUGAAGAUAAUUUGUUAAAAGAAAAUGCAUUCCUGAAAAGAGAUAUCUCAAAUAUUUCCAAAAGAUUUUCUAUAGGAUCUGAGAAACUGGAAAAAAAUCUCUCUGUUCAAAGACCUUAUUUUAAUAAAUCUGGUUUGGGAAUGACUGUUGAAACCAUUCAUUUAAUUGAUUUUCCUAAAGUGAAGGAAAGAAUCAAACAAAGACCCACAAGAGAUGCUUACAAAAAUCAUUUUAAAAGGAUCUUUGUAAAACCAGUAGGUCGCAAUGCUCUUAGAUGCUCAAAGUGCAAUAGUGCAGAACAUUUUGAAAAAGAAUGUCCAGUGAUUUGGAAACCUAUUAAAAAAGUAUGGGCAAAAACCGCAUAUCAUACUAACACCAAUGGACCCAAGAAAAUAUGGGUACCAAAGAAGGUUUGAGUUUCUUUUUUAAAUGCAGGUCACUAUAAAAAAAAAUGUAAAAUGGUAUCUGGAUAGUGGAUGCUCAAGACACAUGACAAGAGACUCAAAUUACUUCAUAAAGCUUGUUCAAGUAAAUGGUGGAAAAGUUUCUUUUGGAGGAAACAGCAAAGGAAAAAUUGUGGGAUUUGGAACUAUAAAGAUUGGAAAUCUCUCAAUCAGCAAUGUUUCCUUAGUGGAAGGGCUCAAUUACAAUUUGCUCAGUAUUAGUCAGCUAUGUGACACUGGUUUCAAAAUCAACUUUCAAGAGGGAAUAUGUUCUGGAAUUAGUAAAGAUUCUACUCAGUCAUUCAUGGGUCGAAGACAUGGAAAUAUCUACCUCUUGGAUGUGAAACUAGAUGAAUCACAAUGCCUAAUCUCAAUCCAAGACGAAGCAAACCUAUGGCACAGAAAGCUUGGGCACGUCAAUAUGAAGCAAAUAGCCAAAAUCUCAGCAAAGAAGCUUGUUCGUGGUCUACCCAAUUUAUCAUAUCAAAAGUCUGAUCUAUGUACACCAUGUAUAUUGGGAAAACAGGUAAGAAAUUCCUUUAAACCAAUAAAUCAAGUUUCCACUAACCGUGUACUGCAGCUUCUGCAUAUGGAUCUUUUUAGACCAACCAGAACACAAAGCAUUGGAGGUAAGAAAUACUGCCUAGUAAUUGUGGAUGAUUACUUACGAUUUACUUGGGUAUAUUUCUUGGCAAGUAAGUCUGAAACUUUCUCUUACUUUGAAAAGUUUGCUAAAAAGGUUCAAAAUGAAAAAUGGUAUGUUAUCUCAAGUAUAAGAACAGAUCAUGGAGGUGAAUUUGAAAAUCAUGAUUUUACAAAAUUCUGUGAUGAAUCUGGUUUCCAGCGUGUAUUCUCCUCUCCAUAUACUCCAGAGCAAAAUGGAGUUGUGGAAAGAAAGAAUAGAUCUCUUCAAGAAAUGGCUAGAAUUCUUUUAAUUAAAAGUAACAUAUCUUCACAUUUUUGAGCUGAAGCAGUUUCUACAGCAUGUUACAUUAUAAAUAGAGUUUUUCUAAGGCAUGUUAUGGAAAAAAAAAAACCCUAUGAACUAUUCAAAGAAAAGAAGCCUAUUGUUUCAUAUUUUCAUGUAUUUGGAUGCAAAUGUUUUAUACUGAAAAAUGCAAAUGAUCGAGUUGGUAAGUUUGAAGAAAAGUCAGAUGAAUGCAUCUUUCUUGGAUAUUCAACCACAAGCAAAGCGUACAGAGUCUACAACAAGAAGACUCAAAUAGUGGAAGAAUCAAUGAAUGUUAAAUUCCAAGACUUUAUGCAAAAUGAAUCCAUUUAGACUCAUCUUGAAGAAUCUGAACCUGCUCCAGACUCUACAAAGUCUAAAAUAGCUUAGACUUUGAAGGACCAGCAACAAGUGACUGUUGAAGAUUCAAGUGAAGGAAGUGACCAUCAAUCUGACAAAUUAACUAGCAACUGGAAACAUAAGUCCAGUCAUCCCAAAGAUCUUAUUAUUGGCAACAUCAAUGAAGGAAUUCGCACAAGAUCCAAAAGGCGCGAAGAGUCUAGUGCUGUGGCUCUUAUUUCUGAAAUAGAACCUAAAAGCAUAGAAGAAGCUUUAUCUGAUGAAAGCUGGAUUGAAGCUAUGCAAGAAGAGCUCAGGCAAUUCAGUAUUAAUGAUGUCUGGGAAUUGACUCCUAAACCGAAAGGUAAGUCUGUUAUUGGAGCUAAAUGGGUUUUCAGGAACAACAUGAACGAGAAGGAAAAGUCAUAAGAAACAAGGCAAGACUCGUGGCCAAGGGAUACACACAAGAAGAAGGGAUAGAUUAUGACGAGACUUACACACCAGUAGCAAGGUUAGAAGCAAUUCGAUUAUUACUUGCUUUUGCUUGUUAUAAGAAUUUCAUGUUAUUCCAAAUAGAUGUCAAAAGUGCCUUCCUAAAUGGAUGUAUCCAUGAGGAAGUCUAUGUGGAACAACCACCUGGGUUUGAAGACCCAAGGAAACCAAACUCAGUAUUCAGACUCAAAAAGGCUCUAUAUGGCUUAAAACAAGCACCUCGAGCUUGGUACGACAGACUGAGUAAGUUUUUAAUUGAAAAUGGAUUUGUUAAAGGUAAAGUAGAAACUACUCUUUUCAUUAAAAGAGAAAGCAAGAGUUUUCUACUUGUUCAAAUAUAUGUCGAUGACAUUAUUUUUGGAUCAUCUAAUGAAAGUCCGUGCAAGAAAUUCUCUAAGACUAUGCAGGAUGAAUUUGAAAUGAGCAUGAUGGGUGAGUUAACCUUCUUUCUUGGACUUCAAGUAAAACAAUUGAAGGAAGGAACUUUUAUUCAUCAAGAAAAAUAUGCUAAUGAUAUUGUGAAGAAAUUUGGACUGGACAAUUGCAAAAAGGCCGACAUACCAAUGUCAAGCUCCGUGAAAAUAGAUAAAGAUGAAGGAGGAAAGAAAGUCGACCAAAAGUUAUACAGGAGUAUCAUCGGAUCACUUUUUUAUCUUACUGCUUCUAAACCUGAUAUUUUGUUUAGUAUUUGCAUUUAUGCCAGAUUUCAAGCAGACCCUAAAGAAUCACAUCUAAAUGCUGCAAAGCAUAUUAUCAAAUAUAUUGCAUCAACUUCAAGCUUCGGUCUCUAGUAUCCUAAAAGGGGAGACUUUACUCUUCUUGGGUACUCAGACGCAGACUUAGCCGAAUGCAGAGUUGAUAGAAAGAGCACCUCAGGUACCUGUCAACUACUUGGAGGCAGGACAGUGUCUUGGUUUUCAAGAAAGCAAAGUACAGUAGCUCUCUCUACAACAGAAGCAGAAUAUGUAGCUCUUGGAAGUUGCUGUUCAUAAAUCCUGUGGAUAAAACAACAGCUAAGAGACUUCGGAAUUGAAGAUUCAUGCACGGAGAUUAAAUGUGACAACACCAGUGCAAUCAAUCUCACCAAAAAUCCAAUUCUUCACUCAAGAGCAAAGCAUAUAGAGAUUCGACAUCACUUCAUUAGAGAUCAUGUUCAAAAUGAAGAAAUUACGAUUCAGUUUGUUGACUCAAAGAACCAAUUGGCGGAUAUAUUUACAAAGCCCUUGGAGAAAAAUCAAUUUGAAAUUAUCCGUUCCAGUCUCAACAUUUUAAGAUUUGAAGAAGUUAAAGUCUAGAGACUCUCAGACUCAGACAAAUAAGACUUUAACUGCAAGACUUUGACUGUAAGUUAUUCUCUCUCUCUCUCAUUUCAUCUUGAAAAGGUACGUUCAUCAACCUUGUUGAUUAUUGUUAUCUCAAUCGCUAUCUUUAAUUGACGAAAUUAUUGCAUCGUUUCCUUUAGAAAAAUAAGUUAUUUUGAUGUGACCAUUUUUCGAAAAAGGCAGUUAUUUUUUUUAAAAGGCAUCUUUUCACUUUCCAUUGCAACGAUGGUAUCCCCUCCUUACGACUAUCUAUAUACAGUCAGUUUCUCCUCGCUUAACUCCAAAAACCCUAAAAAGCACCAAUCUUCCAUUCUUGUUUUCUUCUCUUGUUUAAUUUUCAAAAAAGUUGUCAUCUUUCUUGGGAAAGUCAAGCAAGGAAUCUUUCAAAGACUAAGAAAGAUGUCGUCUUCAAGAAAGUCUUCGAGGAUCGCAAGCAGGGGACCACGGAGAAUGAGUGAGGGGCCUACGCACUUCAAUCUCACUGAAGAAGAAGUGUCUCCAAAUCAGCAGCAGAGCCCACAACAUUCUCAGCAGCGUCAUUCUCCUCCAUCUAGUCCUCAAGAUGUUGAUCAUCAUCAAAAUGAAGAAAUCAUUGAAGAUGCAGAUCCUGUAAGAGUUCAAAGGCCCUCUUUUAUUUAUAAGUUGUAUCGUGCUUUAAAAGGGAUUGGUACUCCGUUGAACUAUGUGGAUGAUUUUCUUAAGGACAAAGGAUAUGGAAAUGAAUAUAUCUUUUUGCGAAAAAUGGAAAGUUUGGGAAUUGCUCAUAAGGGGGUGGCAGAAGAAACCCUUGCGAAUAUUCCAAGUGACCCUCGUGAUUGGGGAUUGAAUCCAGUGGAUGGAAAUGAUGAUGACAAAUUAUACAGCGAAUUUCAACCAAGAAUGGGAGUUGCGGCGGAAAAUUGAGAAAAAAGGGGAGAGUUGUUUAGAUCGAAGGAACAGAAGGAUCUAUACUCAAAAUUGCUGAAGCGUGGGGGUGAUAAACCCUAGGAGUGUGGAUUUUGACUUUUUGGAUGCUAUAGAUGUGAACUUAAGGGAAAAGUUCGGUCAUCUUCAACUUGAGAAAUUCUGCUCUGACACCACAGAGGCCUAUCCUCAACUAACUGCAUAUUUCUAUUCAAAUCUUAGUUUCUUGGAUGCGAAUAGAUUCUCCUUCAGUGUCAAAGAUCAAGACUUUAUUGUGGAUAUGGACAUGCUGGCAGAUGUGUUAGGAGUUGAGAGAGGAAGAUAUCAACGGAUCAAAGUUUCUAUUGCUUGUACUACUCUGGAACUUGUUAAGGAUAGGAGAACAGAGGGGAAGAUUUCCUAUUCUAGGAUGAGUGCAUUUAACAUCUUGCUGCACAAAAUUGUAAUCAAUUGCCUCAAACCGAAAUCAACUUCCAAGACUGAUGUCUCAAGUUCAGAGGCAAAGCUAAUGUAUGCUAUCAUCACUGGGAAAAGGUUUUCACUUCCUCACAUUGUUAUGUUCCACAUGUAUAGAGCUAUGAUGAAGGACAGAGGACAACUUCCUUAUCCAGGUCUUGUGACGAAGUUAUUCAGACAUCUGAACAUUCAGCCUCCGCAAAUUCUUUGUGUUCGAUCGUGCGAUCAUAUGGUGGUAGGACUGAAAAUGGUGACCAAGAUGUGACUGAAGGAACUAAGCAAGGCAUUGGAGAAAUUUAAGGAGAAGACUCCAGACAAAUCUCAUCAAUUCUCUUCUGCAGGAAAAAUGAAAGGGAAGGAGCCCAUGGACGCUCCAUCUAAGAGAAUAAGAGCUCUCAUCGUUGAGGAUGAAGAUGAUGAGGAUAACAUCACUAUCUCUGCAAUGGCUUUGAAGAAUCUCAGUCGAUCUGUUCCAGAGAAAGAGUCAGAACAACAGACAGAAGAAAGAUUAGAGAAAGAAGCAGAGGAAAAAGAAACGGAGGAAAGAGAAGAAGAAGAAGAAAGAGAUGCUGAGCAAGAGAGAGUUGAAAAAGAAGAAGAAUAGAAAAGAGAUCAAGAAGAAGGAGAACAUGAGGAGCACUCUCCACCUGAAGGCAUGAACACAGGGGGAGAACAAGAGAAAAGAGGAAUGACCUCAAAUCCUGCAACCAGUGCGGGAGUUAGUCGAUCCCCAGCAGAUCUAGAGGAGGACUUUGCCUCUCAGUUUCCUGAGGAAGUUCAUGAGGUUUCUUCGCCAAAUCUGCGUGAUUAUGCUGAUCUACCAUCGUCUGCAUUUACUCCAUCAGAUCGUGCUAAUGCCAGUACGCAGACCGACAAUUCAGCAGAUUUUCGCAGAGUGAUGGAUAUUCUCUUGGAAAUGCAAGGUUAGAAUAUGCAUUGGGAUGUGAAGUUAAGAACUUGCAUAAUGCAGAACAAGUCUCUGCAGGUUUAUUAAAUGAUCAAAUCCAAUCCAUUUCUCUCCAGAUUCAGGCUAAUGCUAAGGGUGAGUAUGUUGCUCAGCUGAAGGAAGACUUUAAAAGGCUGGAAGGCAUCGUUCAGUCGAUGGGAGAUUUUCAGCUUGUUCGUGUUCCCAAGAAUCCUUGACUUCAUUUUCAUCUCAACCUUUUUUAUGCUGACAAAAAGGGGGAGAGUUGUGAGACUUAAAAAACUUUAAACUUAAAUUUGUCGAACUUUGUCAAACUUUUGUCUUUGGUUUGUUUUGACUUGACUUGUGUUGUGUCUGGAUGUGGACUAAAUUUGGGAUUUGGAUUUGACUGCUACUAUUGAUAUCUUAUGGAUGGCUUUAUUGCAUACUGGACUAACCUAUUUUCUGUGGUUGCAGAUUCUAGUGUUAUUCAUUUAGCCAUUUAUCUAUAAGAUAUGCAUAUGUGUUUGAGAGAUGUUUUGCAGGUCAAAGUUUUCCAAAUAUGCAAGAAAGUUUUGUCACCAUCAAAAAGGGGGAGAUUGUUGGAGAAAUCCUCCUGAAGUGUUUUGAAGUUGACAAAACGUUUCCAGUAGUCUAGUCUGAAGGCUUGCAGACUCUGCUAUUUAAAGUCUGAAGACCUUCGGACAGCCAGACUCAAGACUCAAAGUCUAUACUCAUUGACAGUUUCUAAUCCGUUGAAAAAAGGCUAUCCAUAACUGGAUGUUUCAUUAAGGAUGUGACCUUAUCGACUGGAGAAGAUCUCUUAGCUGGAUAUGACAUAACGGAAUCAUUUAUUUUGAUCAUAAUUGAUUUGAAGAUUAAGGAUUCGAUGAUUAGCAAAGUAUACUUGGAAGGUUCUACUUAUGGAAACCGAGAUCCUGAUUGUAUGGGCGAACAGGAUUGAUGGGCUAUCGACAUGUUCCUUUAAUAGCUCGAAUGAUCUUCCUAAUUGAUUCUGUCCAACGGGUAGAUUGGAGGAAUUCCUUUGGUAAGUGCCAACGGGUAUGAUGGCAUGAAGGAGUAUAUAAGGAAGACGUUCCAGUUGUUCGAGAAGGUGCACGAUAGAAGAAUUCCAAAAUCUGAAGCUCCUUGUUCUCAGUCAAUUCAUUUGUUGAGAUAAAUCGUGUAAACAAAAGAGAGUCCAUAUUCGUGAGAAACCUUGAGGAAGUGUGGUAAAAUAUCUACACUGUGGAAUCAAGGAAAAUAUGUGCUGUAACCUCUCUUUUGUUCAUAGUAAAAUCCAGCCGAUGGGCUGUCAGUGCGGAAGAGUGAACGUAGGCUUGGAAUAAGCCGAACCACUAUAAAUCUUGUGUUCAUUUCUCUCUUCCCUAUCCUUUACUUUACUUUGAUCGUAUUUUUCUUUCUAUCAUUUGCCUAGAAUUGCUUCCGUAUCUCAAGAAUUUGUUUGUGCACCUAUUCACCCCCUCUAGGUGAUUAUACUAGCUAUCUCAGAAUAAGCAUAUAUUUGACAGAGCAAAACCUUCACAAAACUCCUCAAAUCUUCUUCCAUAGUAGACUUAUUCAACGAUGAAUUGCCAAAAUCAUACGUGCGAAAAAAUCACAAAUUUAAACUAGAUUGGGAUAAAACCUCCCGAAAUGAGAGAGAGAAACUCCUAAAUCUAGACUAGAUGAGAAAAGAAAAGCUCCUCAAGAUAGAAGGAAAGCUAGAAAAAGAAAACAGAGAAUCAAAUUAGCAAAUGAAAAAGGAAAAAAAGAGGGGAGGGAGAGAUCUAGUUGAAAACUCAUCUUCAUGGAGCUUGAAGAAUAAAAUUGUGUGAAAAUGGUAGGGAGAGGAGAGAAUCCUAGGAAGGAAAGAGAAACGUUGACAUCCAAAGAAGUAAAAGUUUAGCUAUUAUACAACUAUAAUGUGACUAACUCUUUGGCAGAGAGGUUAGGUAGAGGUAAGACUGGAUUUCGGUAUAAGAAAAGGAUGUGAUUGUCCUCGAUGUUUCUUCAAAUUCUACUACAUCAUCAUUCGUGAAGCACUAGAUUGUUGUUCCCAGGAUAGGUGUCAUCUCUGUGAGAAAUGAGAUUCAAGGAUUAGUCUUUUCUCGAGUAAUUCAAUGAGCUUAGUAUUUAAGUAGGGGCACAAUUGACGUUGGCCACAUAAUCACAGUCCUGCCAGAGAUAAACAACAUGGGGUUCUACUACUUCAGGCAGAAGCUGCAGGAGAAAUUAUCAUAAGUCUUCAAUCCAGCCGGACACUUUGGUAAAGGUGAGUUGACGAUGGUGAAUUUCAUUGGACUCAAUAGUUUUAGGUAUGGUAAACUUGGGAGCAUACCAGUGAAAAUGGACCAUAUAAACACAUCCGGAUACUAGGCAAACGAAGGUAGGAAUCCUUUCAGAUUGAAAGCCACAGACAUUGCCUUUAUGAUUAUGCCCGGAAGGGAUAUCCUCAAAGAGAGAAUGAAGGUGGUUAUCAAGAAUUGGAAGGACUUAAAUCAGACGCAAAAAAGCACAUUUGUUAUCGAGGAUGAAGUCGCACGUGAAGCAUCGAUACGUGAAGCAUCGAUACACGUGGCAGCUAACGAUCAGGUGAGAGCAGCACAACUGUUCCUAAUUUUCCAUCCCACUAGACCAGAGAGCGAGAGAGUGGAGAUAGUAUUGCAAUAUCACCAGAGGCAACUCCUCGUAUUGACCAUGAGAUCAUUAAGUUUUUGUGACGACUCAGAACCGGGCAGUACGGAGGAAUGGACUAAGAUCACCUCGGUAGUACGCGGGCGAGGUUAAAGACAUGUCUCCUGUCCCACAUCACUUAGAGGGGAGUCCCGGGCUAACUUAUAAGGCUUGGGUCCCUCUAACUAUACAUACGCGUUUUCUUAUUAUAGUAUGGGUUGUCUUGAGAAGAACAAAAUCAUGAUGACUUAGUGUCCAAAGCAGUAGCGUGUGGGCUACAACCAUAAGGGGUGGAGAAUGUGAUGACAUUUACAGUAAAGACCUGGGUCCUUAGACCUCCUUAGAGGUGGUAUCAGAGCCGACUCCUACAGCGUGUGGGCUACAACCAUAAGGGGUGGAGAAUGUGAUGACGUCCUUAGAGGUGGUAUCAAAGCCUACUCCUGCAUCGUGUGGGCUACACUCCUGCAGCGUGUGGGCUACAACCAUAAGGGGUGGAGAAUGUGAUGACCCAGACCCGAGGCAGUACGGAGGGUACGCAAGCGAGGGUAAGAGCAUGUCUCCUGUCCCAUAUCGCUUAGGGGUGAGUCAUGGGCUAGCUUAUAAGGCUUGGUCCCUCUAACUGUAUAUACGCGUUUUGGGAGUAGUAUGGGCUGCCCUAAGAAGAACAAAACCGUGAGGACUUAGUGUCCAAAGUGGAUAAUAUGUGUACAAUGGAGACCCAGGUCCUUACAGUUGCAUUUAGGUCUCCUCUAUUAUAUGUUAUAUCCAAAACAGUUAUGUACUUAAAUUAAAUAAUUUUGAUGAAUGAUAUGAUUUAAAUUUCCCAUUGAAAUUAUUAUUUUAUAUCUAGACAUUGUAAUCAUUAAAAGUAGAAUAAAAGAACUAGUAUUUUGAAAUUAUUUUUUGUGUCACAGUAUAUGAAAGAAUAACAAAAUUUAGUCAGAGUAAAACUUCAUUCCAUGGCGAACCGCAAUCAAUACAUGAGUAAUAGAUAAAUCAACAUCACACCUCACAAUAUAUUUAUUCUUCAACCACGACCUCUCCAGGACCAGCCGUUCUUUAUUGAAAUUCUACAAUUGCAUAAACACAAUCAAAUAUCACUAGCAAACAGAACCAGUCGCAUGCUUCAAUCACUGCCAACGCGGAAGCGGCAUGGCGAAGAACUUCAUCAAGCCAUCCGAGCAGUCCUUGUCGUUAGAGGAAGUGAAGUAGUAGAGCCUCCAUUGGUUCAGCACAACCUCAAACCCUUCUCCAGCGCCAUUUGGUGCACCAGCGAGAAGCUUCGCACCCCCGAAGUCGCACUUGAGGUAGCUAUACAGGUUGGGCAGCAAGUACACGUUGUGGGGUGCAUCAAACUUGAACACUAACCAAGAAAACAAAAAUAGUUAAAGCAUAUAGGUUAUUCACUUUUCGGAUCAUAGUGGUAUCAACAUCAGUUCUCGAAGAAAGGAAUCUUGAAAGGAUUCUUGAUUUCGUACCCAAUCCACAAACGAUGUCACCUUCCCUCCUAGAUCCUGUGUUUAUAUUUUAUUAUCUCUCACUUAAAGUAACCUUGAGGAUCACACUCACCGUCACGCUGUGUAGCCUUAAUCAACGCACAUGGCUGAGUUGAUUAUGCACUUGCUCAUGAGAUUUUAUUCGAGUCAAAGGUCCUAAUAUCCUAUACCAUUGGCUCUCUAACUAGAUAAUCGGCAUAUAUUGGAACCACUAGUGACUACUUGUCACGUCUUUCCCUGAACGAUGAUCAAUUUUUUCAGUAAAACUUUCUCAGCCAUGGGCAUUCCUCUAUGCAAACUUCAGCAUCAUCCGAGGAAGUAAAAC